rnacentral:rRNA from 1 species
AUUCCAGCUCCAAUAGCGUAUAUUAAAGUUGUUGCAGUUAAAAAGCUCGUAGUUGAACUUCUGGCUAUUCUUCCAGCUGGCUUCGGUCGCUGUAAGAGUGGUCAUCCGCUUGGGAACUACGUUCGAACUUCACUGUUCGGCGUAAGGAACAGGCAUUUUACUUAGAAAAAAUUAGAGUGUUCAAGGCAGGCUAUCGCCCUGAAUACACAAGCUUGGAAUAAUGAAAUAGGACUAUUUCCAUUUUAUUGGUUAUUGGAAUUAGUAAUGAUUAAUAGGGACAGUUGGGGACAUUAGUAUUUAAUUGUCAGAGGUGAAAUUCUUGGAUUUUGGAAAGAUGAACUACUGCGAAGGCAUUUACCAAGGAUGUUUUCAUCA